ensembl:ncRNA F43D9.11 ncRNA
UUUUGGCAAUUUCCUGAAAUAUUCAAUUCCGGCAAAAUGUCUAUUUGCCGGAAAUUUUCAAUUCCGGCAAGUUGCCGAUUUGCCGGAAAAAUCGUUUGCCGCCCACCCCUGCUAUGUCCCAUAUGAAUACAAACCCUAUAGGCUUUCGGC